rnacentral:rRNA from 1 species
UACGGGGGGAGCAAGCGUUGUUCGGAAUCACUGGGCGUAAAGGGAGUCUAGGCGGUUUGGUAAGUGGGAUGUGAAAUCCCCGGGCUCACCCCGGGACCUGCAUCCCAAACUGCUGAGCUUGAGUACAGGAGAGGGUGGGGGAAUUCCAGGUGUAGCGGUGAAAUGCGUAGAUAUCUGGAGGAACACCGGUGGCGAAGGCGCCCACCUGGCCUGCUACUGACGCUGAAGCUCGAAAGCUAGGGGAGCAAACAGG